UACAGAGGUCUCAAGCGUUGUUCGGAUUCAUUGGGCGUAAAGGGUGCGUAGGCGGCGCGGUAAGUCGGGUGUGAAAUCUCGGAGCUUAACUCCGAAACUGCAUUCGAUACUGCCGUGCUUGAGGACUGGAGAGGAGACUGGAAUUUACGGUGUAGCGGUGAAAUGCGUAGAUAUCGUAAGGAAGACCAGUGGCGAAGGCGGGUCUCUGGACAGUUCCUGACGCUGAGGCACGAAAGCGUGGGGGAGCGAACAGG
rnacentral:rRNA from 1 species